rnacentral:rRNA from 1 species
CGGUAAUACAGAGGGUGCGAGCGUUAAUCGGAUUUACUGGGCGUAAAGCGUGCGUAGGCGGCUGAUUAAGUCGGAUGUGAAAUCCCUGAGCUUAACUUAGGAAUUGCAUCCGAUACUGGUCAGCUAGAGUAUGGGAGAGGAUGGUAGAAUUCCAGGUGUAGCGGUGAAAUGCGUAGAGAUCUGGAGGAAUACCGAUGGCGAAGGCAGCCAUCUGGCCUAAUACUGACGCUGAGGUACGAAAGCAUGGGGAGCAAACAGGAUUAGAUACCCUGGUAGUCCAUGCCGUAAACGAUGUCUACUAGCCGUUGGGGCCUUUGAGGCUUUAGUGGCGCAGCUAACGCGAUAAGUAGACCGCCUGGGGAGUACGGUCGCAAGACUAAAACUCAAAUGAAUUGACGGGGGCCCGCACAAGCGGUGGAGCAUGUGGUUUAAUUCGAUGCAACGCGAAGAACCUUACCUGGCCUUGACAUACUAGAAACUUUCCAGAGAUGGAUU